UACGUAGGGUGCAAGCGUUGUCCGGAAUUAUUGGGCGUAAAGAGCUCGUAGGCGGUUUGUCGCGUCUGCUGUGAAAACCCGAGGCUCAACCUCGGGCCUGCAGUGGGUACGGGCAGACUAGAGUGCGGUAGGGGAGAUUGGAAUUCCUGGUGUAGCGGUGGAAUGCGCAGAUAUCAGGAGGAACACCAAUGGCGAAGGCAGAUCUCUAGGCCGUAACUGACGCUGAGGAGCGAAAGCAUGGGGAGCGAACAGG
rnacentral:rRNA from 1 species